GUGGAGUUUUUCACACUGCCACGUAUUUUCGUCCUCCACCUUAAGCGGUUUGACAUGCUGGGCCAAAAGCUCUCAGACGUGAUGGACGUCCCGUCCGAGCUGGAUCUCUCUGCCCUUCCUGGGGUGGCUUCUCUCAGGCAGCAGUCGAGUGGAGCAGCGGGAACCCAGGACAAACCUCAAGAAA